rnacentral:tRNA from 2 species
GCCACCGUAGCUCAGGGGUAGAGCAACGGUUUCGUAAACCGUAGGUCAUGAGUUCAAUUCUCAUCGGUGGCUCCA